rnacentral:rRNA from 1 species
AGAGUGGAAUUCCAUGUGUAGCGGUGAAAUGCGUAGAUAUAUGGAGGAACACCGGAGGCGAAAGCGGCUCUCUGGCCUGUAACUGACACUGAGGCUCGAAAGCGUGGGGAGUACGACCGCAAGGUUGAAACUCAAAGGAAUUGACGGGGGCCCGCACAAGCGGUGGAGCAUGUGGUUUAAUUCGAAGCAACGCGAAGAACCUUACCAGGUCUUGA